GCGAGAGUAAUUCAGUGGCAGAAUUCCAGCUUCCCAAGCUGGCUACGUGGGUUCGAUUCCCAUCUCUCGCUCCA
rnacentral:tRNA from 1 species